rnacentral:misc_RNA from 1 species
AGCUGUUCCCCUCUGGAGGCUUUGACCUUCACACCUUAAGGGCCGCGGCUACCGCAGGCCCUUUUCUUUUGUGCAA